rnacentral:rRNA from 1 species
AGUGAACGCUGGCGGUAGGCCUAACACAUGCAAGUCGAACGGCAGCACAGUAAGAGCUUGCUCUUACGGGUGGCGAGUGGCGGACGGGUGAGGAAUACAUCGGAAUCUACUUUUUCGUGGGGGAUAACGUAGGGAAACUUACGCUAAUACCGCAUACGACCUACGGGUGAAAGCAGGGGAUCUUCGGACCUUGCGCGACUGAAUGAGCCGAUGUCGGAUUAGCUAGUUGGCGGGGUAAAGGCCCACCAAGGCGACGAUCCGUAGCUGGUCUGAGAGGAUGAUCAGCCACACUGGAACGGAGACACGGUCCAGACUACUACGGGAGGAAGCAGUGGGGAAUAUUGGAGAAUGGGCGCAAGACUGAUGCAGCCAUACCGCGUGGGUGAAGAAGGCCUUCGGGUUGUAAAGACCUUUUGUUGGGAAAGAAAAGCAGCAGGUUAAUACCCCGCUGUUCUGACGGUACCCAAAGAAUAAGCACCGGCUAACUUCGUG